rnacentral:rRNA from 1 species
GGUGCUAAUACCGUAUAACACUAUUUUCCGCAUGGAAGAAAGUUGAAAGGCGCUUUUGCGUCACUGAUGGAUGGACCCGCGGUGCAUUAGCUAGUUGGUGAGGUAACGGCUCACCAAGGCCACGAUGCAUAGCCGACCUGAGAGGGUGAUCGGCCACACUGGGACUGAGACACGGCCCAGACUCCUACGGGAGGCAGCAGUAGGGAAUCUUCGGCAAUGGACGAAAGUCUGACCGAGCAACGCCGCGUGAGUGAAGAAGGUUUUCGGAUCGUAAAACUCUGUUGUUAGAGAAGAACAAGGAUGAGAGUAAAAUGUUCAUCCCUUGACGGUAUCUAACCAGAAAGCCACGGCUAACUACGUGCCAGCAGCCGCGGUAAUACGUAGGUGGCAAGCGUUGUCCGGAUUUAUUGGGCGUAAAGCGAGCGCAGGCGGUUUCUUAAGUCUGAUGUGAAAGCCCCCGGCUCAACCGGGGAGGGUCAUUGGAAACUGGGAGACUUGAGUGCAGAAGAGGAGAGUGGAAUUCCAUGUGUAGCGGUGAAAUGCGUAGAUAUAUGGAGGAACACCAGUGGCGAAGGCGGCUCUCUGGUCUGUAACUGACGCUGAGGCUCGAAAGCGUGGGGAGCGAACAGGAUUAGAUACCCUGGUAGUCCACGCCGUAAACGA